rnacentral:rRNA from 1 species
AGUGAACGCUGGCGGCAGGCCUAACACAUGCAAGUCGAGCGGAUGAAGAGAGCUAGCUCGCGGUUACAGGGGGGGACUGGUGGGCGGGGCAGGGGAAUAUGGGUAGCAGUGGGGUAGAAGGGCAGGAAGCAGGGGCUAAUACGGCAAACGCGCUGAGGGACUAAGGGUGUGAGCUGGGGACCUUAGGAUAUCAGAUGAUCCAAUGUGGGAUUAGCGAGUUGGUGGGGUGAAGGGCUACCAAGCCAACGAUCCGUCACUGGUCUGAGAGGAUGAGCAGUCACACUGGAACUGAGACACGGUCCAGACUCCUACGGGAGGCCGCAGUGGGGAAUAUUGGACAAAGGGCGAAAGCCUGAUCCAGCCAUGCCGCGUGCGUGAAGAAGGUCUUCGGAUUGUAAAGCACUUUAAGUUGGGAGGAAGGGCAGUAAGUUAAUACCUUGCUGUUUUGACGUUACCAACAGAAUAAGCACCGGCUAACUUCGUG